GACAAAUAAUGGCUAGCCUUUAUUGUAAUCAAAAAGCCAGGCUGUAAAUUAAAAAAGUGACAAAACAUUUUUACAUGAUUGGAAAAACAACCCCCUUUUUAGAACCACUCGUUUUACGGCCGCUGGGAGAUUGGAAACUAGUCAGCUGAGUCAGCUGGCCGUUCAGCUGAGCACCCAAACAAAUAUGGAGGCAGAAUGAAAAUUCUCCACAGGUAAGAAGAACAUGUGAAGCAUUUGAACAGACUUACCUCGCUCAUAUACCGAAGUCCACAGUGAGACUGAGGAGUUAGCUGAGUUUAAAGGGCCAUUGGAUUUCUAGUGCUGGUGUUAUCGAUCAAUAUCGCUCAUUUCAGGACUGUCAUUCCACGAGAUGCUGAUCCCCAAAUCGCCGAUUCAUUGGGCGGAUUAUCCGAAUUGCAAAGCAGCAAAUACAAGACGGUUAGCGGUUAGUACUUUGAAAUCCAAGUUAUCCCGAUAAUUUUUGCUUGCAUACUUAAGAAUACACGAGGCAUACAGGAGUAUGAAAUUCUAAGCCGCAGUUCUCGUGUCGCGCAUAAACGUGGAAGCAAUUAGCUGUAUUCAUCUUGUUUUCUUGCGCUAUCUAGAGUAAGGCACAUAAUCUUUUUCCACAUCGACACAGAAUAUGUCUGGUUUUUGCAGUGUCUGGUUUUUGCAGACUCGCCUUUUUGACCCCGCUCUCAGCGUGGUCUUCAAUCCACCGCUGGCGAUAAGCGAUUCCUUUGAAAGGGCAAAAUAUUUCGCACAUAAGGCUUAUUAACGCAUCGUUAUCGGUUUAUAGAACCCAGUAUUUACUCAUACUUUCACUUCUACCUGCACUAUACUCGUGGCUUGUGAAAUAAAAGCCAUUUUAAUGGGCUAACCCGCGUUUGUAUAUACAAAUCUUGUGAAAAGAUGAUGUUUAAUUGAUAAAAUACUUGAAAUCCGGUAAAAUGAUUGUCUAUUGGAAUGCUUUGAUUAUCCCUUAAGUGGAAUGGCUGAUAAGCGACUGAGAAUCAAACCCAGAAAACAAUAAAACCGUCCGUUGUCCUUCUACGUGCAGUGUCAAUGCCUCUCGAUGAAGCAAACCUUGUUAGAUCUCUUGCACAGCGGAUACCAUAACAGCUCUUUGUGUGUUGAAGUAACCACAAGAGAUACUUGCCAAUGACAAUGUACGUUGACACUUGUGAGUUCCACCUUCACUGGAAUGCUCCUUUGUGUAUAGUGAAUUCAUUGAUACAGCACUCAAGCCUCAAGACGUCUCUUGUCUUCUUAAGAUCCCUCGGCUCAGGGAGAAGAGUCUCUCGCUUUAUUAAUUUGACCUUACUAACUGUGUUAGCUCUCCAAGGAACAAAUGUCUUACCUUCGGGGUUAGUAAUUAAAUCUACUCUGACCGCUCAGGAAAAGUUAAGUUUUAUUGCUUUUGUCUCGGUUAUAUUGCUUUCAUAUAUUCAUAUAUCUCGUGACCUGUGUGAGUAGCGAAUGUUGUUAUCAGUGCGCCCGAGACGCAUGUUUCAAGUAUCUUUAAUUUUUAUUUCGCUCUAAGUUGGCAUAAUUUUCGUUCAUUCGACAAUCAAGCUUGAAAAUCUCCUUUCAAUGGGAUGUAAUGACAAGCGUGGGAGUUAAUGCGUUAAUUUCAAACUCGGGUAACUGAUUAAGGGCAUUAGAGAAAUAUGAAAAACAUUCCUCCUACUUCAGUGUCUGGUAGUUUCUAUUGCAGGCAAACGUUCAGCUGAUUCAGCUAAAUUCUCACUAAGUCAGGGAACGCUGUGUUUUCAGUCAAAUUCGUUGCUUCUGUUCCAAGUGCGUUUUCCAACUCCCAAUGAAAAACUACACCCUAUGACCCUGUAAUGGGAUUGUUUUUGUCGAGUUUUAUUGCGUGUGAAAAAGUAUGCAUAUCAGCAGUUUUUUGUGUUGAAAAACACGCAGUGAAGUAAUUGAUUGCGCUGGAAGAAAGUCAAAGUAAAUAUUGUUUUAAAACGUGAAAACGUUAACAGAAUAUGGAAUAAUGACCCGAGUUAGAACAUCGUCGUGCAAAUAAAAAAAUAAGGUAGCAAGUUUCAAAUGGCAAACAAUUUUGACAGAGGGUUGUUGUGGUGGUAUUCAAGAAAUUCCAUUGUCGAGGAACGUUCAGCACUGAAUGUUUUCUUUGUAAAUGUAAAAAGUAUUUUUACGAUAAAGUUCUUGUUUUCUUGUGUUUUGAAUGCUACGACCUCUCGUCUUUGCUCGUCAGCUGUCAAAACAGUAGUUAAAUUCCAAAAGGUACCUUUUAGAAAAAAUUGUUUGGCUUUGUUAUAUAAUGGCCAGGAUAUUAGGCGCGCUCUGAUUGGCUACGAGCUAUUUCGCAAACGUAACGGUCAUUGCAUCAUAUCAUGAACCACUUGACGGUCCUUUAAAGCAUUUUUCUUGAGUGUUCUCAUUUUAGCACCCACACACGCGGCUCUUUGGACAAGCAACAUUCACUGAUAUCGAUUUAUGCCGUUUCAUGUUUGUCGUGCCAGCCUAAUGUUUCUUUACUGACGAAAACCUGUGAUCAGGUGUUCUUUUUUGGGCCAACGCCCGAUCGCAGGUUAUACUGAUAACAAAAUACGGAGAACUUUCCACGAAUUUGUCGCUGUUAAAGAAGCUCUGUUGUGGAUGGCUAUCUUGAAAACUUUUGCCCGUUAGCCUCAUUUUUCAAGUUAAAAAGCGAAACAGGCUGCGGGAGCGUUGACAGGCAGCUGUUUUCACGGAUUACCGUAUUCGAAGCCUUUUCUUGUUUCAUGUCAGUCUCUUGUUUCAGAUUUCAAUCUUCUUUUCGUACGUGGCGACAACCACUUCAUUGCUUAAAUUUCAUGUAGAGCAUUUUUCUGGCCAUUUUUACUGUUUCAAAAUAUUAGGAAUUUUUUUCUAUCCUCUGCAAAACGUGGCUAUGAUUCUUCUAUUGCAGUGAGCCAGUUCGAAAAGGCAAUAAUUGAGAAGUAUCUUUUUACAUCAGAAAUCGUGACAUUUAUCUUGUGCCCAGAGGCCCGUUUCUCGAAACCCCCGGAAACUUUUCGGGCCCACAAAGCCAAUUUCAGUCAAUCGGUAUUUAAAGACAGAGAGGUGUUUACGCCUGAAAGUUCUCGUAUGAAGGGAGCCUCUGCUCAUAUUAAGAGUAUGUGCAUAAAACAGCUCUUUAGUAACAAGGUCUGAGAUUUUGCUACGGCUUUUCGGUUGCGAAAACUUUUCGGGGUCAUCGAGAAACGCAGAGAAACGGGUCCCAGAUCUCCCACAACCAAACCUUAGACAGAGUGAGGUCGUGGUGCUUAAGACCGCCCGCGAUUCAAUCCUGAUGUAAAAUUCCCGUACUAAUGAAGCCACUUUACACUGAUCCGAUCUGGAUAUCUGGCUGCUGGACAAUUUAUUUAACGAAUUUACACCGCAAAUAUGGCGAAUUUUCAUAUGUAAACAGAUUCUCUGAUAUGUUCACAGACAGUGUCUGACUAGCUCUGAUAAAGCCUUAGAAUCUAGUUGAAAACAUCACAGCUUAUAAACUGUGCAGUACUUUCGAGUGAAUUUGUUUUGUGUGGGCUGUGCGGACAACACGAAAGCUAAAGAGUUGUUCUGGGAGCUACAUAGGGAGCAGAGCAGUCCUAUUUGACCGUAUUUCCAGUUAAAUUCAACGUAUAAUUGCAACGCGAAUCGGUCAGUUGAUCUCAUACAGAGAUUCAAAUCAACAUCAGACCCCUUAUGAUCUCCUAGAAAAAUCGGAAUCGAGGGAGACUCUGCUCUUUAGCAGAUCUUCCGCUUUGGCCAUGAUAUAUGAAGUCGCAGUUUGAGCAGUUUACCACGUUAAUUUCUUCGGUCGAAACGUCUUUUUGUGUUUUUAUUGUUGUUGUUGUUGUUUUUUUUUUUUACGAAAUGUUUUCAACGUUUUAAAUGCCAGAGUCAAACCCAUUUUUAUGUUGUC